rnacentral:rRNA from 1 species
AAAUUGAAGAGUUUGAUCAUGGCUCAGAUUGAACGCUGGCGGCAGGCCUAACACAUGCAAGUCGAGCGGAAACGAGUUAUCAGAACCUUCGGGGGACGAUAACGGCGUCGAGCGGCGGACGGGUGAGUAAUGCCUAGGAAAUUGCCCUGAUGUGGGGGAUAACCAUUGGAAACGAUGGCUAAUACCGCAUGAUGCCUACGGGCCAAAGAGGGGGACCUUCGGGCCUCUCGCGUCAGGAUAUGCCUAGGUGGGAUUAGCUAGUUGGUGAGGUAAGGGCUCACCAAGGCGACGAUCCCUAGCUGGUCUGAGAGGAUGAUCAGCCACACUGGAACUGAGACACGGUCCAGACUCCUACGGGAGGCAGCAGUGGGGAAUAUUGCACAAUGGGCGCAAGCCUGAUGCAGCCAUGCCGCGUGUGUGAAGAAGGCCUUCGGGUUGUAAAGCACUUUCAGUCGUGAGGAAG